rnacentral:rRNA from 1 species
GGUAGUCCACGCCGUAAACGAUGCGAACUGGAUGUUGGGUGCAAUUUGGCACGCAGUAUCGAAGCUAACGCGUUAAGUUCGCCGCCUGGGGAGUACGGUCGCAAGACUGAAACUCAAAGGAAUUGACGGGGGCCCGCACAAGCGGUGGAGUAUGUGGUUUAAUUCGAUGCAACGCGAAGAACCUUACCAGGCCUUGACAUCCAAUGAACUUUCCAGAGAUGGAUUGGUGCCUUCGGGAGCAUUGAGACAGGUGCUGCAUGGCUGUCGUCAGCUCGUGUCGUGAAUGUUGGGUUAAGUCCCGUAACRAGCGCAACCCUUGUCCUUAGUUACCAGCACGUUAUGGUGGGCACUCUAAGGAGACUGCCGGUGACAAACCGGAGGAAGGUGGGGAUGACGUCAAGUCAUCAUGGCCCUUACGGCCUGGGCUACACACGUGCUACAAUGGUCGGUACAGAGGGUUGCCAAGCCGCGAGGUGGAGCUAAUCCCAUAAAACCGAUCGUAGUCCGGAUCGCAGUUUGCAACUCGACUGCGUGAAGUCGGAAUCGCUAGUAAUCGGGAAUCAGAAUGUCGCGGUGAAUACGUUCCCGGGCCUUGUACACACCGCCCGUCACACCAUGGGAGUGGGUUGCACCAGAAGUAGCUAGUUUAACCUUGGGGGGGACGGUUACCACGGUGUGAUUCAUGACUUGGAGAAGUCGUAACAAGGUAACC